UUUCCGGUUGAUCCCGCCGGACCUGACUGCUAUCGGAUUGAUUCUAAGCCAUGCGAGUCUUUGUAGUAAUACAAGGCAUACGGCCCAGUAACGCGUAGUCAACCUACCCUAUGGACAAGAAUAAUCUCGGGAAACUGAGCAUAAUUCUUGAUAGAUCAUAAUGCCUGGAAUGGUUUAUGGUUAAAAUGAUUCGUCGCCAUAGGAUGGGACUGCGGCCUAUCAGCUUGUUGGUGAGGUAAUGGCCCACCAAGGCGAUUACAGGUACGGGCUCUGAGAGGAGAAGCCCGGAGAUGGGUACUGAGACAAGGACCCAGGCCCUAUGGGGCGCAGCAGGCGAGAAAACUUUGCAAUGUGCGAAAGCACGACAAGGUUAGUCCGAGUGAUUUCUGCUAAAGAGAUCUUUUGCUAGUUAUAAAACCACUAGUGAAUAAGGGGUGGGCAAGUUCUGGUGUCAGCCGCCGCGGUAAAACCAGCACCUCAAGUGGUCAGGAUGAUUAUUGGGCCUAAAGCAUCCGUAGCCGGCUCUGUAAGUUUUCGGUUAAAUCUAUGCGCUCAACGUAUGGGCUGCCGAAAAUACUGUAGAGAUAGGGAGUGGGAGAGGUA
rnacentral:rRNA from 1 species